rnacentral:lncRNA from 1 species
AUUGCCUGGCUGCUAGAGGAAACCCGAAGUCGGGAUUCUUUCUUUCCUGCUCUGAGAGGGACCAGGUCCCUCCUCCGUAGCUUUUGUCUCUCUAUUGCCUGCGCCGUGUCCUGGACUGCUCACGGGAGUUCUGCAGGAGACGCCGGAAUAUCUGGAAGCUGAAAAAUGGAAAUAAAUGGAAAGACCAGAAUAUUGAAGAUCACUACAGAAAUCUAAGAGGCCAGGUUCCUGAAGGUUUCUUGCAUCACAUCUCUACAGAGAUUUUUCUGGGAAGGAUCCAGCAAAGCCCACUCCUCUUGGGUGAAGGUCACAGCCACAUCCUCAAAGGCCACUGAAUCCUGAAACAUCUCACAUGUAUAGAGGAGGAUGGAUAAGACUAACAUCACUGGGAAGCCUAUACUCUAUUCCCAAGAGGUUUCCAUGAUGCUGUGGACUCAAAACAAUUAUUCCAUGACCAUCAGACCUCAUACUCUCUGUCUACACUCAGUUUCUUCCAUAAAGUAAUUCUGAGGCUAC